CCCAGAGCGGAGAAGAGGGCCUCUUGGUGAAGAUGGACAGCCUGGAAUGACUAACCCUCCCCACCGGACGGUCCCUGCAGCUUAGAUGGCCCGGACCAGCUCACCCUUCCUUCCCACCAAGGGGAGAAUAUAUGGAAGUAGAUGGACAGAGGUCACAACUACAAACGUUUCCAAUAUGAUAUUCAAGCAAUGAUAAAGUAAGCGGAAUCCAUGCAGAAUACAUUUCUGCUAUUGCUGGCUAAUUCAGAAUAUGUCCUGUCGGAGAUUCCACAGUGUGAACCUGGCUUUAUGGUGUCCAGUCUCUGCUCACAGGGAAAUGCCCAGUGAAUCAAU